rnacentral:rRNA from 1 species
UACGGAAGGCAGCAGUGGGGAAUAUUGCACAAUGGGCGAAAGCCUGAUGCAGCUAUGCCGCGUGUAUGAAGAAGGCCUUAGGGUUGUAAAGUACUUUCAUCGGGGAGGAAAAAACAAAACUAAUAAUUUUAUUUCUUGACGUUACCCGAAAAAGAAGCACCGGCUAACUCCGUGCCAGCAGCCGCGGUAAUACGGAGGGUGCUAGCGUUAAUCAGAAUUACUGGGCGUAAAGAGCACGUAGGUGGUUUUUUUAAGUCAGAUGUGAAAUCCCUGGGCUUAACCUAGGAACUGCAUUUUGAAACUGAAAUACUAGAGUAUCGUAGAGGGAGGUAGAAUUCUAGGUGUAGCGGUGAAAUGCGUAGAUAUCUGGAGGAAUACCUGUGGCGAAAGCGGCCUCCUAAACGAAUACUGACACUGAGGUGCGAAAGCGUGGGGAGCAAACAGGGAUUAGAUACU